CACGCUGUCGUAGCUGACGUGUAAAGUGUUGAGUCAUCUGUAUACAUAGACACACAGGCUUUACUCAGAGCCAGUGGCAGGUCAUUAGUAAAGAUUGAAAAAAAGUAAAGGGGCCUAGACAGCUGACAUAGGGAAUGCCUGAUUCUACCUGGAUUAUGUUGGAGGCAACCAUUAAAGAACACCCUCUGUGUUCUGCUAGACAGCUGUCACGGCAGAUUUCCUCCUCUUCGUCUGAAUAGGAGUAAGGAUCGGACCAAGAUGCGGCGUGUGAGCUGCAGACGAGAGGCCAGCUUAUCCCUUAUGUGGACAUCAGGAUAGUGGGUCUCCAGGAACACCUUCUCCAGCUCCUCCACC